CUCGAUCACGUGCCCUUGCGCAAUGUUUGUAUUCAGGUUUCCCUUCGUUGAUUCAUUUAAUUAAUUUUUUAUUAUUAUGUCUGAGGCUUUAUUUAUUAGUAAGUUGUUACGUUUAAACGAACGAUACAUACUAAACAGAUCCCUAACGCGUUGAGCUACUAGUUUGGAAAAAUAGCAUUUGUCGUCCUUUGACUACUGUUCGUCUUGGCCUACCUAUGCUCACUGGAUUGGUUAGUCAGGCGAGUUCGCCAUUUUGCCAUCUUGACUCUGCAGUGCAUGCUCAUCAUGAAGAUCAUUAUGGAUGGAAUUGCAGGUUCAUCACCACGUAGACCACAGGAUGACGUCUCGCGAUAAAAUUUGUCCGCUGUUCAUCAUUUGGUGAAUAGGAACGAACAAUAUUUUCUUCCCUUUUCGCAACCUUCUCCGAAAACUACGCAUAUUUUUCAUCUGUUCAUUUACACAUAAAAUUCACUUUGUUGUAAGAUCCAAUAAAAUCGCAAAUAACCGAGGGUUUGUUAAAAUUUUGAAGUUAGUAACCUAAGAAAAGUUGCCAAAUAUGAAAUUUUCAUCUAUGGAGGUUUUAUUGUCUAUAUAAAUUAAUUGCUAUAUUUAUAUGUGGACAAUAAAUCAUUCUUAUAUAUUUUGUUAUCGUAAAAAUAUGGGUGUAUAUCAAAUUGAAAUGAUAUACUAAUUUAUUGGAGGGAACACGGCGCAUUUCAUUCUUUUCUUGGAAAAUGAGAGAAUAGAAAGGAGAAAAUUAAUUUGAUUAAUCAAAAUUGAGGGUUGCCGCUCUUCAGGGCGAACGUUUGCACUUUUCACCACAAACAACAACCCUCCGUGAAUAUGUAUGACGGGUGCAAAUAAUCGACCUUCGUUUCAACGCCCGUUUUGGUGUAUGCCAGGCCACUUUUAUCCAAUCUGCCGCGGUCGGUUUGUUCGGGGACAAAGGUAAAAAAAAAAAAAAAAAAAAAAAAAAAA